rnacentral:rRNA from 1 species
CCUACGGGCGGCAGUAGUGAGGAAUAUUGGUCAAUGGGCGCGAGCCUGAACCAGCCAAGUAGCGUGAAGGAUGACUGCCCUACGGGUUGUAAACUUCUUUUAUAAGGGAAUAAAGUUAGGAACGUGUGCCUUUUUGUAUGUACUUUAUGAAUAAGGAUCGGCUAACUCCGUGCCAGCAGCCGCGGUAAUACGGAGGAUCCGAGCGUUAUCCGGAUUUAUUGGGUUUAAAGGGAGCGUAGAUGGGUUGUUAAGUCAGUUGUGAAAGUUUGCGGAUCAACCGUAAACUUUCAAUUGAUACUGGCAGCCUUGAGUACAGUUGAGGUAGGCGGAAUUCGUGGUGUAGCGGUGAAAUGCUUAGAUAUCACGAAGAACUCCGAUUGCGAAGGCAGCUUACUAAACUGCCACUGACAUUGAUGCUCGAAAGUGUGGGUAUCAAACAGGAUUAGAUACCCCAGUAGUC